GUUCUAUGAUGUAAGAGUGCCUAUCGCAAGGUUGGCUUACGGAGGACUAGGGAAGGGUUUUGUGGUUUCCUCAAAGCGAUGUAGAUAUUGUGCACAAUAUUGAAAGAAAACACUUACA
rnacentral:ncRNA from 1 species